rnacentral:rRNA from 1 species
UGGGGAAUAUUGCGCAAUGGGGGGAACCCUGACGCAGCCAUGCCGCGUGAAUGAAGAAGGCCUUAGGGUUAUAAAGUUCUUUCGGUAUUGAGGAAGGUUGAUGUGUUAAUAGCACAUCAAAUUGACGUUAAAUACAGAAGAAGCACCGGCUAACUCCGUGCCAGCAGCCGCGGUAAUACGGAGGGUGCGAGCGUUAAUCGGAAUAACUGGACGUAGAGGGCACGCAGGCGGUUAUUUAAGUGAGGUGUGAAAGCCCCGGGCUUAACCUGGGAAUUGCAUUUCGGACUGGGUAACUAGAGUACUUUAGGGAGGGGUAGAAUUCCACGUGUAGCGGUGAAAUGCGUAGAGAUGUGGAGGAAUACCGAAGGCGAAGGCAGCCCCUUGGGAAUGUACUGACGCUCAUGUGCGAAAGCGUGGGGAGCAAACAGGAUUAGAUACCCUGGUAGUCCACGCUGUAAACGCUGUCGAUUUGGGGGUUGGGGUUUAACUCUGGCGCCCGUAGCUAACGUGAUAAAUCGACCGCCUGGGGAGUACGGCCGCAAGGUUA